rnacentral:rRNA from 1 species
AAAUUGAAGAGUUUGAUCAUGGCUCAGAUUGAACGCUGGCGGCAGGCCUAACACAUGCAAGUCGAGCGGUAGCACAGAGAGCUUGCUCUCGGGUGACGAGCGGCGGACGGGUGAGUAAUGUCUGGGAAACUGCCUGAUGGAGGGGGAUAACUACUGGAAACGGUAGCUAAUACCGCAUAACGUCGCAAGACCAAAGUGGGGGACCUUCGGGCCUCAUGCCAUCAGAUGUGCCCAGAUGGGAUUAGCUAGUAGGUGGGGUAACGGCUCACCUAGGCGACGAUCCCUAGCUGGUCUGAGAGGAUGACCAGCCACACUGGAACUGAGACACGGUCCAGACUCCUACGGGAGGCAGCAGUGGGGAAUAUUGCACAAUGGGCGCAAGCCUGAUGCAGCCAUGCCGCGUGUGUGAAGAAGGCCUUCGGGUUGUAAAGCACUUUCAGCGGGGAGGAAGGCGUUAAGGUUAAUAACCUUGGCGAUUGACGUUACCCGCAGAAGAAGCACCGGCUAACUCCGUGCCAGCAGCCGCGGUAAUACGGAGGGUGCAAGCGUUAAUCGGAAUUACUGGGCGUAAAGCGCACGCAGGCGGUCUGUCAAGUCGGAUGUGAAAUCCCCGGGCUCAACCUGGGAACUGCAUUCGAAACUGGCAGGCUAGAGUCUUGUAGAGGGGGUAGAAUUCCAGGUGUAGCGGUGAAAUGCGUAGAGAUCUGGAGGAAUACCGGUGGCGAAGGCGGCCCCCUGGACAAAGACUGACGCUCAGGUGCGAAAGCGUGGGGAGCAAACAGGAUUAGAUACCCUGGUAGUCCACGCCGUAAACGAUGUCGAUUUGGAGGUUGUGCCCUUGAGGCGUGGCUUCCGGAGCUAACGCGUUAAAUCGACCGCCUGGGGAGUACGGCCGCAAGGUUAAAACUCAAAUGAAUUGACGGGGGCCCGCACAAGCGGUGGAGCAUGUGGUUUAAUUCGAUGCAACGCGAAGAACCUUACCUGGUCUUGACAUCCACAGAACUUUCCAGAGAUGGAUUGGUGCCUUCGGGAACUGUGAGACAGGUGCUGCAUGGCUGUCGUCAGCUCGUGUUGUGAAAUGUUGGGUUAAGUCCCGCAACGAGCGCAACCCUUAUCCUUUGUUGCCAGCGGUCCGGCCGGGAACUCAAAGGAGACUGCCAGUGAUAAACUGGAGGAAGGUGGGGAUGACGUCAAGUCAUCAUGGCCCUUACGACCAGGGCUACACACGUGCUACAAUGGCAUAUACAAAGAGAAGCGACCUCGCGAGAGCAAGCGGACCUCAUAAAGUAUGUCGUAGUCCGGAUUGGAGUCUGCAACUCGACUCCAUGAAGUCGGAAUCGCUAGUAAUCGUAGAUCAGAAUGCUACGGUGAAUACGUUCCCGGGCCUUGUACACACCGCCCGUCACACCAUGGGAGUGGGUUGCAAAAGAAGUAGGUAGCUUAACCUUCGGGAGGGCGCUUACCACUUUGUGAUUCAUGACUGGGGUGAAGUCGUAACAAGGUAACCGUAGGGGAACCUGCGGUUGGAUCACCUCCUUA